rnacentral:misc_RNA from 1 species
CUGCCUUUGGCUCAGACGAUAACGCCAGUUGUGUUUGUCAAUUCGUGCCGGUCUUUCGGUGCUGACCAUCUGACUAUGACAAAGUAUCAAGUCGUUUUGGUGUACAUGUUAAUAGCCAUGACAAUGAGGAAAACGUGAAGGGUGGCUUAGCAUGACUUGUCACAUCAGGGAAGAGACCUAACUCCGAAAUAUUUUAAAGUUUUGCCGUAAGUUGGAGAGCUACUGUUGUCUUUCCGAUUCGUAGUGCUGAGUUAUUGCUGCCCUCACACCUAUGUUCUCGCAAUCGUAUAUACGUGCAUGAAAUGAGCUUCGCCAAAUCCCAGGAAUUAUUUACCUAUAUAACGGGCGACAACGGUCCUACUCUUUCAGCCACGAGAAAGACGUACAUUAUCAACAGCAGCAACAACAACAGCAUUAUCUCCACCAGCAAAUGUUGCAACAGCAGCGGACCACGAUGGCUGGUAGGAGAAGUAUGCCGAAGCGGGACAGAUCAUACUCCGAGUCGGACGUGAGGUGGCUGCAACACAGAGAAAUGGGUCGCGAGCUGCGGCGUAUGAGUGAUGAAUUCGUAUAUGAGCGUUCGCGGAGACCCUUGAUGACCGUAAGAGAGGAGGACGAAGAUUCAUCUGUAGGCAGUCAUUAUUCAUCAUCAUAUCCUGAGACUGUUGGCACUCACCACUGGUUUUAGUGACUGUGAUUUCUUAAGUCCAGUGCAUUUCACUCUUCAGUUCCCCGCCUGAAAUUUAAAGAAAAGCAUUGGGCCAGAGGCAAUUUUACAGUUAGCGAACUUUUCUUUUUAACUUUAUUUUUUUGCCAAAUUGUUUUAUUUACUUAAUUUUAAAUUCACAAGCUUAUGACCAAAUCAUCUGAUAGCAAAUAAGUAAACAAAAAAGAAUAUUUUUAGAACUUCCGCAGCAAGAGAUACUAAAUAGUUUCUGAGACGUUGUGGCGGUAAUCAAAAAAAGAAAAGAACCACUAUGACUUAAAGUCUUCUUUAUUCUUCUUUGCUAUACAGUUCUCUUUUGGCCUGUAAAUACCCUAUGUUUAUAAAUAUUGUAAAGACACCAUGAUGGAGAGACUUCAGAUUCAAUGUUCCUUCGCACGUCUGACCAUCACUUGCUUUUCUUACAUAUAAACUACACAUAUAUGCUGUUAUAUGCUAAAAGUGAUGUUUCAGAAUUACUAAACGUAUUUUUAAGACAACAGCAGAUACGUAUAAUUUGACUUUGACUUUUGCAUUCCAAAAAUUUAAUAUUUUAAAAAUACUAAAUAUUUAAUAAAACACUACACGAAAGUAAUGAUGAUGAUGCAUAAUAUUAAUAGGCCUUUACAAUAUUGACAAUGUUAAUUUAAAUCGGUUAUUUAUGAUGUCUUUGAUCCUCUUUUUGCUUUUUUACUUUUCCUAUUUUGCUCGUCAAUAGUUUGAUAUCUUUAUAUAUACAUGCUUAUACUGUACAUCGAUAUCAAGCUUCUGAUUCACUGUCUUAAAACAUGACUUCUUCUAGCUCAUUUAGUCAUUGUACAAAGACAAAUCAAUUAAUUGAGCAUACGAUGUCUUGAAGGCGUAAUAUAAAUGGUCAUUUUAUUUGUUAGUUUUCAAUUAUCAACUUCGCGCAUCCAAUGCAGUUCUGUUUGCGCAUAUUCACGCAGCGUAGAGUUUUUGUUUUUAUAGUGGCCUUAUUACCCAGAUCAUGUAAAAAAAAAAAGUCUGUCUCCUAUACCUCCCAAAAUAUUUUCCUUACGGGUAAUCUGGAAGAAAGCUCAAUGAAUUUUCUUUAAUUGAGUAAAUGGGUAAUUCUUAACUGUACGUCCAAAUUGUGCCAAAUACAGAUCACUAUUUUAAAAUGCUUAUGUUGACUUAUCAUGUUAGUAAUUUGCUACAUCAAAUGAAACUGGCAAUAAACUAUUUGCACCUGAAUCAA